rnacentral:rRNA from 1 species
GUUGUCCGGAAUUAUUGGGCGUAAAGAGCUCGUAGGCGGUCUGUCGCGUCGGCUGUGAAAACUCGGGGCUCAACUCCGAGCUUGCAGUCGAUACGGGCAGGCUAGAGUUCGGCAGGGGAGACUGGAAUUCCUGGUGUAGCGGUGAAAUGCGCAGAUAUCAGGAGGAACACCUGUGGCGAUGUCGGGUCUCUGGUCCGAUACUGACGCUGAGGAGCGAAAGCGUGGGGAGCGAACAGG